ACAGACUCAAAACCGCGAGGCUCGCCCCGUACAGAUGGCCAGGUGUCGCUCAUUCGUUGAGCUACCUGUGCCGUCCUUUUCGCGAGCGGGUUAAGGUCUGAGUAUUCUAGUCAUUCUCGAUCGGUCCUAGCAGGAUCUGAGCCUAAAACCUCCCGCUCACAACGACGUAUCAGAAAUUCACUCUUGUCCGCCCUUAUACUCGUCUUUGGUCGGUGCCUCGUGUAUCGACUCUAGCCCAAAGACAUUUUUCUUCGGGAAAUCGAGGGCGAAAAAAGCUCGAGAGGGCUUAAGAGUUUGGAAUUCGUCGUAAUGACUGGGCGAAUUUAUGGGUUAUAUCUUUUUGCAUCUGAUGUGAAGAGGUAUUCCUUUCUUUCGUCCUUCAGCUCACUUCGCUGUGCGCCUAGCAUGGAUUUCCUUUGGUGGUCCAGGGCGUAACUCGAUUCAGACUACUCUUUGUCUGU
rnacentral:RNase_P_RNA from 2 species